rnacentral:lncRNA from 1 species
UCUCACGAACUCAUCACAGCAUCCUCCAUGAGCAUCAUCCUGCAGUACCUGGUCUUGACCUGUGGUGUAUGUGAGACAGCAAGAGUGAGCUCACAUACGUUCAUCGCUCAACAAGUUGUGGGGAAUAAUGUGCAUGAACUCGCCAAAGGUGGGAGCUCACGUGAAGUGUAAGGCUUACCAAAGAAGAUGGUUAGAGCUGAGCAUUGCUUUUAAAGUUGGUCAAAAUUUUAUUAGCAGUUACUAAGUAUAAGUAAAUACCAACCCAAUUAAAUAGUAGAACAAAAGUAACCACAUCACCUGCAAUGCAAUGCAUAUGACAAAUUGAGUUUAGUUCCAUAAAUUAAUCAUGUGAGUGUCCGAGCCGCUCAUGACCGUGAGCACGGCUAGUAUACCAGUUUUACACUCUGCAGAGGUUGCGCAUCUUUACCCACAAGUCGUGUAUCCCAUGUCGCCAGGGUUUGCAAGGCCCUUAGACACUUCCGAGGUGAAUGGCUAGGGAUCCACUACGUGGCCUUUACAAAGUUCCACUAGCUUCCGAAAACCCGCUACAGUUUAUAGGAAGAUCCAGUACAGGAAUCCCUUGCAGGACCGCCAUCGCAGCAAAAUCCUCCCGAGGGCCUCCCCGCACUGACCUCUCCCCUACUGCCCUUGCCCCUUUCGGGUAAGGUAGUCUUCCACUAGCUUUCCUAAUUAAUCAGCCAAGGGCGUCCCAUUAAACCCUUGUGGUAGCACUGUUUUCCCGGGUGGUUCUCCAUGUUCCAAUUAACAUAAUGAUCUCAAUAUGAACAAUAAAUAAUAACUGAUAACAAAAGUGUAACCAUGAAUAGUGUAUCUCCAUACCCAAAACCACAUAUAGCACUAGCAAGUACUACCCAGAAAGUUCAGUGGUGAACAAGGUAUAAAGAUAAUCAAACUAGGUAACCUGUUGGGUCCCAUCAAAAUUAACCUAUGCAGAUCAUUAUGAUUAAUCAGAACAUGAGUGGGUAAAAAGAAGUGAUCAAGGGCACAACUUGCCUGGGCCUUGAGAUUCCAGGUACCAGGAUGAUCUUCAGGUGACACGUGACCUCGCACUAGUCGUAGCAAUACAAACAAACAGUGUAUAGGCAAAAUUAACAUUACAUCAAACAUGUAUGCAAAAUACAUAUUAAUAAUCUACAUAUUAAAGUAAGAUCACAGGAAAAAGAAUUAUUAAUUUUUGAGUUAUAGAAUUCAAGUUAUGAAUUUCCUAAGAUUUAAGGUGAUUAUAAUAUGAUUAAAUGAUAAAUAAAUUUUCUUGACAGAGUUCAUGACAAAACAGUGAUUCUAAAUGGUAGAGAAUAUUGUUACAAAAUUUUAGGAAUUGGAAUGACUCAAUUUGGAGCUAAAAUGAAUUAGUUAUGAAUUAAUUAAGUUUCUGGAUUUAUUUUAACACUAAAAAUCAUUUUCUAAAUCAUUUUCUAUGAUUUUCCUAUUCACUGGACUGGGCCUCAAAUACCAGAAAACACAGGGGUCUCGGUGUAAUUCGCCACAGACACAGGGAACAGUGACAUAUGGACGGCGGGUUCUAUUUCUGUAAAACCCAGGGGCUCUUUAAUAAAUUUCCUGACCGAAAGGGUAUCACGCGAUCUGAGCCGCCCGAUCUAACUCUGACGGUCCAGAUUAGAUCGCGUUUUAAUCGAACCGGUAUGCGAUUCAAGCCCUCGGAUUCGAAUCUGACGGUGGUUAUUUUAUGAAAGCAAGAUCGGAUCGGGUCCGUCAGAUCACAUCCAACGGUCCCAAUGCCACGCGUGAAGGGGGUAACUUGAAUCUAAUCUCGUCCGUUCAUCUCGCAUCAACGGUCAGGGAGCCAUCUCCCCAAUCCAGCUCAACUCGCCCUACCCGACGGCGCUCCCCGGCGAUGGUUCACCGGAGUAGGCGCAAUUCCGGCCGACCAAGUCCCCAAUCCCGAAUUCACUCAACCUACGUGAGAUUCGCAACGGCCCGCACCCAUGUCGCCCCUCAAUUCCAGCCGCGACACAGCGCAAAUACCCUGCCCACGGCACAGCCAAGCUCACGGCGGAGAUGGUUACUCCGAUGAGCGAUUCGACGAGGUCCGGUCACCAAAUAGGCCAGCCAAGGGGUCCACACACACCAGAGGUUAAUGCGAACACGAUAGAAGCGAAUUUACCGUGGAUUAUGUACCGAUGAUCACGGGUCACGAGCAAUGGCGGCUCCGCCGUGAACCUUUCGCUUCGGUGAGCAAUUGGGGACGCCAUGAUGACCGCGCCACCCAGUUUCGGCCAUGGGCGCAUUCCUAAGAACGCGGUGAAGCUCCCAGACC